rnacentral:rRNA from 1 species
AGAGUUUGAUCCUGGCUCAGAUUGAACGCUGGCGGCAGGCCUAACACAUGCAAGUCGAACGGUAACAGGAAACAGCUUGCUGUUUCGCUGACGAGUGGCGGACGGGUGAGUAAUGUCUGGGAAACUGCCUGAUGGAGGGGGAUAACUACUGGAAACGGUAGCUAAUACCGCAUAAUGUCGCAAGACCAAAGAGGGGGACCUUCGGGCCUCUUGCCAUCGGAUGUGCCCAGAUGGGAUUAGCUAGUAGGUGGGGUAACGGCUCACCUAGGCGACGAUCCCUAGCUGGUCUGAGAGGAUGACCAGCCACACUGGAACUGAGACACGGUCCAGACUCCUACGGGAGGCAGCAGUGGGGAAUAUUGCACAAUGGGGGAAACCCUGAUGCAGCGACGCCGCGUGAGUGAAGAAGUAUUUCGGUAUGUAAAGCUCUAUCAGCAGGGAAGAAGAAAGACGGUACCUGACUAAGAAGCCCCGGCUAACUACGUGCCAGCAGCCGCGGUAGUACGUAGGGGGCAAGCGUUAUCCGG